UCUAUAUUUUGUCUUGUCGUAAGCUUGUGUGUGGCUACUUAGCUACUUUUCCAACUACCAAAAGGGGGUUUAGGGUUCACAAGAGCAGCGACAUCCACCACUAAGAAAUCAAGUUGGAGAGCAAUUGGUCAUACAUGGGCGUGCUCGAGUUGCUCUGCAAGACCUCAUCUCUUUGUGUAGACAGACCGAUUCCCAGUCCCGAUUGUGGUUCAUUUCAGGUGAAUCUCAGGCGGAGUAGAAUUACAUUUAUGACCCCGCCAGCCUCCUCCUCCGCCGCCGUUUCGGUAACUGAGGAUAGCCCAAAGGAAGGAGGCGGCAAGCUGACCGGGGAUUCAUUUAUACGGCCGCAUCUCCGUAAAUUGUCCCCAUAUCAACCUAUUCUCCCCUUCGAGGUGUUGUCUACUCGUCUCGGUAGAAAACCUGAGGAAAUUAUCAAAUUAGAUGCUAAUGAAAAUCCAUAUGGUCCGCCUCCAGAGGUUUUUGAGGCUUUGAGCUCUUUGAGAUUCCCUUAUAUUUAUCCCGAUCCUGAAAGCCGGAGAUUGCGAGCUGCUUUGGCGAAAGAUUCUGGUCUUGAAGCUGAUUAUAUUCUCGCUGGCUGUGGUGCAGACGAACUUAUUGAUUUGAUAAUGCGAUGUGUUUUAGAACCGGGUGAUAAAAUAUUGGACUGUCCACCAACUUUCACUAUGUAUGAGUUUGACGCAGCUGUUAAUGGUGCACUUGUAGUCAAGGUUCCUAGGAAGCCCGACUUCAGCCUGGAUGUGCAUAGAAUAUUUGAAGUUGUUGAGAAGGAGAAACCAAAGUGUAUAUUCCUCACCUCACCUAACAAUCCUGAUGGAAGCAUUAUAGAUGAUGAAACUCUUGUGAAAAUACUUAGUCUGCCAAUAUUAGUUGUGCUGGAUGAAGCAUAUAUCGAAUUUGCGGGACUUAAAUCUAAGAUGACAUGGGUAAAGAAGUACGAGAAUCUAAUUGUCCUCCGGACAUUUAGCAAAAGAGCUGCUCUAGCCGGCCUUCGAAUUGGAUAUGGAGCAUUUCCAUUGAGCAUUAUUGAAUACCUUUGGAGGGCCAAGCAGCCAUAUAAUGUGUCAGUAGCAGCUGAAAUUGCAGCAUGUGCUGCAUUAGAGAAUCCUACCUAUCUAGAGAAUGUGAAAAUAGCUUUGGUGGAAGAGCGAGAGAGGCUAUUUAAGCUUUUGAAAGAAGUGCCAUUUCUAAAUCCAUAUCCAAGCUACUCCAAUUUCAUUCUUUGUGAGGUGACAACUGGAAGAGAUGCUAAGAAACUGAAGGAAGACCUCGCAAAAAUGGGUAUCAUGAUUCGUCACUACAGUAACAAAGAAUUAGCGGGUUAUGUCCGUGUAUCCGUAGGCAAGCCAGAGCAUACUGAUGCUCUAAUGGAGGGUAUGAAGCGCCUUUAUUAAUCUUCUGCAAGCAAACUGUUGUGAGCGAACUACAGCGGGCGCAGUCGUGUAGAAAUUCAAUCCAACUGUGUAAAAGCACUCAGUGCUUAAUGCGCAGAUAUUCUCUGAACAGGGGAGAAACUGAAGAAUAAAACUGGGAAAAAAGUUUAUAUAAUUCGAUGAUGGUUUUAAUUUAAAAUCGUUGAACGUGCUGUUGUAAUCAAACUUGAAAUAUGGUAAGAAGACUUUUUAUGAUUCUUCUUUUCUAUAUGUACCAUUUCUUUGUAUGCCUUUGAAGAAAAGAAUUUUUCUUUUAGAUUU